rnacentral:rRNA from 1 species
AAGCUUGCUUUCUUUGCUGACGAGCGGCGGACGGGUGAGUAAUGCCUAGGGAACUGCCCAGUCGAGGGGGAUAACAGUUGGAAACGACUGCUAAUACCGCAUACGCCCUACGGGGGAAAGGAGGGGCUCUUCGGACCUUUCGCGAUUGGAUGUACCUAGGUGGGAUUAGCUUGUUGGUGAGGUAAGAGCUCACCAAGGCGACGAUCCCUAGCUGUUCUGAGAGGAUGAUCAGCCACACUGGGACUGAGACACGGCCCAGACUCCUACGGGAGGCAGCAGUGGGGAAUAUUGCACAAUGGGCGAAAGCCUGAUGCAGCCAUGCCGCGUGUGUGAAGAAGGCCUUCGGGUUGUAAAGCACUUUCAGCGAGGAGGAAAGGUUAACGGUUAAUACCCGUUAGCUGUGACGUUACUCGCAGAAGAAGCACCGGCUAACUUCGUGCCAGCAGCCGCGGUAAUACGAGGGGUGCAAGCGUUAAUCGGAAUUACUGGGCGUAAAGCGUACGCAGGCGGUUUGUUAAGCGAGAUGUGAAAGCCCCGGGCUCAACCUGGGAACUGCAUUUCGAACUGGCAAACUAGAGUCUUGUAGAGGGGGGUAGAAUUU